AGGUUAUAAUAAUCCUAACCCUUUUAUUUCAAGAUUCUUUCUAUAUCAAUCAAAGCACAUCUAGUGGUUGAUGAAAAUUUGAUUGUUGAAUGGCUGUACAAGAGCUGGUUGAGAUCAAAUUUAGGCUUGCUGAUGGAAGUGAUAUUGGGCCAAAUAAGUAUGCAUCUAGCACUACAGUGGCAUCUCUCAAAGAUAAGUUAAUUGCACAGUGGCCAAAAGAUA
rnacentral:misc_RNA from 1 species